ACUGGGACUAAGCUCAGGAAUAUGGUGUCUAGAAGCUGGACGGGCUAUGUGCUUAACCAAGACAAUGGUUCAUGGUUUUCCAACACCGUUGCCAACUCAUGGUUCCCAUGACCUAUGGUUGGAGAAUCUGGACUAGGAAUCAGAGGAGCUCUGACAUUGCCAGCCACUGCUAG
rfam:Capra hircus breed San Clemente chromosome 10, whole genome shotgun sequence